UCGGGAAUUUUGGGCAAUGGGCGAAAGCCUGACCCAGCAACGCCGCGUGAAGGAUGAAGUAUUUCGGUAUGUAAACUUCGAAAGAAUAGGAAGAAUAAAUGACGGUACUAUUUAUAAGGUCCGGCUAACUACGUGCCAGCAGCCGCGGUAAUACGUAGGGUGCAAGCGUUAAUCGGAAUUACUGGGCGUAAAGCGUGCGCAGGCGGUUGUGUAAGUCAGAUGUGAAAUCCCCGGGCUCAACCUGGGAAUUGCAUUUGAGACUGCACGGCUAGAGUGUGUCAGAGGGGGGUAGAAUUCCACGUGUAGCAGUGAAAUGCGUAGAUAUGUGGAGGAAUACCGAUGGCGAAGGCAGCCCCCUGGGUUAACACUGACGCUCAUGCACGAAAGCGUGGGGAGCAAACAGGAUUAGAUACCCCCGUAGUCCCUGAGCGGGCUGGCAAGGC
rnacentral:rRNA from 1 species